AUCUUUUCUCUACUCAACCUGGAAAUGAGACAAGUAGAAAUACAUAAAAUGACAAGAAUUCACCCACUACAUUUUGAGUAAUGUCCUGCGGGAAGAAUCAGUUCAGUCUAGAGCUCUACAUUGCUACAACUUCUGCUUCACAGAUGCAAGAUCCAUGCAAGACUGAUUGCAAACCUACCAAAAAUGCUACAGCCCUGCCCUGGUGAUGGUUGCCAGCUGUUCCAGCACAGCAUGGGAGAACAAAGCUUUGUCAGCCAAAUUUACAAGAAUUCAGAUUUUUUCUAAAAUCAGGUCUGAACUGGAAAUGUUACAGCAGAUUACUCUGAUGAUGCUCAGAGUAUUCCUGACUACUGAAAAAAUCACUAGUACUGAAACAGGUGAUGGUUUAAAUAUUGAUAGUAAACCUCAUCCCUAGAGAGAGAAAAUUAGAUAUAUUUUUAUUUCACAUCACAGGAAACGUCUGAGAAAAGUCUCUGAAGAGAUCUAGGAAGUUAAUUUAAU
rnacentral:lncRNA from 1 species